AGUUUGAUCCUGGCUCAGGAUGAACGCUAGCUACAGGCUUAACACAUGCAAGUCGAGGGGCAGCACGGGGUAUGGCUUGCCAUUCCCUGGUGGCGACCGGCGCACGGGUGAGUAACGCGUAUCCAACCUGCCCGCAACCGCGGAAUAGCCCGCCGAAAGGCGGAUUAAUGCCGCAUGAGCUCGCGUGGGGGCAUCUGCCCGCGAGCAAAGGUUCACUCCGGUUGUGGAUGGGGAUGCGUCCGAUUAGGCAGCAGGCGGGGCAACGGCCCACCUGGCCUACGAUCGGUAGGGGUUCUGAGAGGAAGGUCCCCCACAUUGGAACUGAGACACGGUCCAAACUCCUACGGGAGGCAGCAGUGAGGAAUAUUGGUCAAUGGGCGCGAGCCUGAACCAGCCAAGUAGCGUGCGGGAUGACGGCCCUACGGGUUGUAAACCGCUUUUGUCAGGGAAUAAAGUGGGGGAUGUGUCCCCUUUUGCAUGUACCUGUCGAAUAAGGACCGGCUAAUUCCGUGCC
rnacentral:rRNA from 1 species